GCUUGUCUCAAAGAUUAAGCCAUGCAUGUCUAAGUAUAAGCAAUUAUACCGUGAAACUGCGAAUGGCUCAUUAAAUCAGUUAUCGUUUAUUUGAUAGUACCUUACUACUUGGAUAACCGUGGUAAUUCUAGAGCUAAUACAUGCUAAAAAGCCCGACUUCGGAAGGGCUGUAUUUAUUAGAUAAAAAACCAAUGCCCUUCGGGGCUCCUUGGUGAUUCAUAAUAACUUAACGGAUCGCAUGGCCUUGCGCCGGCGACGGUUCAUUCAAAUUUCUGCCCUAUCAACUUUCGAUGGUAAGGUAUUGGCUUACCAUGGUUUCAACGGGUAACGGGGUAUAAGGGUACGGCUCCGGAGAGUGAGCCUGAGAAACGGCUCACACAUCCAAGGAAGGCAGCAGG
rnacentral:rRNA from 1 species